AUGUGCCAACUACAAAAAAUAGCAACUCAAAUCACUGACAAGAUGAGCAAACUACAGAAUUUUGUACAAACUACAAAGUUUCUUCCUUUGGCACAUUUAUCCUUGGUCAUCACUGGCAACAUCAGCAGCUCAAAUCAUUGGCAAGAUGUACCCCUUGGUCAUCACUGUUGGGGUUGUCUUCUUUGCAGACUCAGGUCAGUCCAGCCGCAUGUGCCAAGAUGCAGCCUACAGGUGUGGACGGCGGGCGAGCUGGACGGUGGUCAUGGACGGAGCGCCGGCAUACAGAGACGUAACGAGAAGACGAGCUGCGCCAAAAGAUGA
rnacentral:rRNA from 1 species